AUUGAACGCUAGCGGGAUGCCUUACACAUGCAAGUCGAACGGGGUGGCGAACGGGUGCGUAAUGUAUCGGGACGUGCCCAGUAGCGGGGGAUCACUACGCGAAAGCGUAGCUAAUACCCCAUACUAUUGGAGCCGGCUAGAUCGGAUUAUCUAUUUGGUGGGGUAACGGCUCCCCAGGGCGACGAUCCGUAGCUGGUUUGAGAGGACGACCAGCCACACUGGGACUGAGACACGGCCCAGACUCCUACGGGUGGCAGCAGUGGGGAAUUGUGGACAAUGGGCGAAACCCUGAUCCAGCCAUGCCGCGUGGGCGAUGAAGGCCUUCGGGUGGUAAAGCACUUUUGGCAGGAAGUCGGUACCUGCAGAAUAAGCACCGGCUAACUACGUGCCAGCCGCCGCGGUAAUUC
rnacentral:rRNA from 1 species